rnacentral:rRNA from 1 species
GUACUCGUCGCUAGGAUGAACGCUGCGGCGUGCUUAACACAUGCAAGUCGACGAAACAGCUUCUUGCUGCAAGAAAGCUGACUUAGUGGCGGACGGGUGAGUAACGCGUGGGUAACCUGCCUCAGUACAGGGGGAUAACAGUUGGAAACGACUGCUAAGACCGCAUAACCCGCUAGUGUCGCAUGACACGGACGGAAAUAUUUAUAGGUAUGAGAUGGGCCCGCGUCUGAUUAGCUAGUUGGUAAGGUAACGGCUUACCAAGGCGACGAUCAGUAGCCGACUUGAGAGAGUGAUCGGCCACAUUGGGACUGAGACACGGCCCAAACUCCUACGGGAGGCAGCAGUGGGGAAUAUUGGACAAUGGGGGAAACCCUGAUCCAGCGAACCGCCGCGUGAGUGAAGAAGUAUUUCGGUAUGUAAAGCUCUAUCAGCAGGGAAGAUAAUGACAGUACCUGACUAAGAAGCCCCGGCUAACUACGUGCCAGCCGCUGC